CUACAUGCUCUGACCCUCCAGGCCUGUGUUUUGAUCUGCGCUUCUGCAUGGGGAUCUGCAAUGGAGAGAAGUACCUUCACCUGUGGGAUCUGACCUCCAGGAUCAGUGACCAGGCUCUUACCUAUAACAUCCAUAAGCUCAGGAGUCAGGGCACAGAGGAGAUUGUCCCUAUGGGGAAAACUCAGAGGUAUGCUGUGUGCCGCUCCAUCAGAGCUGGGACGGUGUAUGUGUGGAACUUGACCAGGCGCCGUUUCGCCUGCCGACCAGUCAGAGUGGAGCACGGCCUUUACAGCAAAACUGAUAUGGUGCUCGCCCAUGACUUCAAACUUUACAUCUUUACAGACAGAAGCACAAACAGCUGCAUGGACGCCCCUUCGUAUUCAUUCCAGACUCUUCUGGUGUAUGAUUUGAUUAAGCGGAGCUAUGUGAGGAGACAGACAGGGAUCACAGUUAUUGCUUAUCCUCAGCAUGAGUACCGUCUUCUGGAGAAUGGAAAGACUCUUCUGGGCCUAUCAGAGACCAGAGAUCAUCUGAUCCUUUGGGAUCUAGACUCUGGCUCCAUCAAACACGAGAUCAAACCAUCCCGCAGAGAGUCGCUCCUGUGCAGCAGCACGGUCCAAGACCUGCAGCCUGAUGUGACACCACGCAGAGAGACAACAUUGAUGCCAUGGGACAUUCGAACAGAGAACAAGUCUGCAAAGAAGAGGAGCCUGGAGAGAGAGGCACAGAGGGAGAAAGAGGCCAAAAGGAGGCUGGACAGAGAGAAAUACAACUCUAUAGACCAGUACCUCCUCAGUGGAGAUGAACAGGUGGUGGUGUGCGCUUAUUUUGCUCAUCACCUCAAUGUCUUCAGCGUGGUCUCGCAGGAACACCUCCACACCCUGGAGGAUAAAACAUCGCUGCUGAGCCUCCACACUGCAGCUGUUACUUGCACUGGCAGCCACCUGGUGCUGACCAGCUACAACCAAGAGCAGAGGAACCCUUACAUCACCCUGUGGGACCUGCACAAAGGAACGGUGGCGAAAAGACUGAGGUCUGAGGCUGGAGUUUGCUGCGUAGCUAUCACAGACAACGCAGAGAGAGUUGUCUUUGGGGUCACAGGAAGCAACAGACUGAAGUUGUGGGAGCCCUUCAAGAGAAAGUGCAGGAGCAUCUGUGGCUAUGGAAACCUGACGAUAGAAGUCUCCAGUAAGCUUUACGUGACAGAGGGAGGAACCAGAGCCAUCCUGCUGUCAGGACAGUUGAGCCUGUGGAACCUGGAGGCAUGCAGCGUCCUGUCUGUACUGUCCCUGGAUGCACAUGUCCGCUGUAUGAGGCUGCUUCCUGGAUGUCAGAUUUCCGUCCUGCUUGGCCUCAGUCACAGCCCUGCCCUCAUCAGCGUCAGGUUAACAUCCAGCGCUGACAGCUCAGCAACUCAAGUCUGUCAACAUGGAGACCUGUUUGGUGAGUCCAGUAGCAGCGAGGAAGAGGAGGAGGACUUGUGAACAUUGCGCAUUUUACAGCUCUUCCUUCGUAAUGAUUGAAAGGUCUUUUGAUUGAGCCAGUGGAUGUCACCAAGAAGGUAUAGCCCGAUGGUCAUGUGAUCAGCUUCAUGUAUGAACACUUUCUUCCUGAGCUGGCAUGUGACAUUUCAUAGCUGUGUGAAGAAGUAUACAGAUUUUACAGCCAAAAGACUGAUUUUUGUGUGUAUAUAUGUAUGUAUAUAUAUAUGUGUAUAU
rnacentral:lncRNA from 1 species